CACGGGGGGAGCAAGCGUUGUUCGGAAUCAUUGGGCGUAAAGGGCGCGUAGGUGGCCCGGUCAGUUCGUGGUGAAAGCGCGGGGCUCAACCCUGCGUCGGCCAUGAAUACUGCCGCGGCUGGAGCACUGUAGAGGCAGGCGGAAUUCCGGGUGUAGCGGUGGAAUGCGUAGAGAUCCGGAAGAACACCGGUGGCGAAGGCGGCCUGCUGGGCAGUUGCUGACACUGAGGCGCGACAGCGUGGGGAGCAAACAGG
rnacentral:rRNA from 1 species